rnacentral:rRNA from 1 species
GCCCUUCGUCCUUCAUCCGCUCUUAGUGCCAAGGCAUCCACUGUACGCCCUUAUUUUCUUCAUUAUUUUGAGAAUUUACGUUGUUUAUCUACUUUUCAAAGAACUUUUUUGAUUUUCAGUACAUUUAGACUGGUGGGCCUAAAUGGACUUGAACCACCGACCUCACGCUUAUCAGGCGUGUGCUCUAACCAACUGAGCUAUAGGCCCUUAAAAUCUUAAAGAAUAUUAUAUUAAAAGAAUUAACUAAUGAAAAAAACGAAAAACUUAUUUUUUAAAUUAACUUAAGUCUUUCAAAACUGAAGAUGAUGAUUUUAAAAAAUUUCCUUAGAAAGGAGGUGAUCCAUCCCCACCUUCCGGUAGGGAUACCUUGUUACGACUUAACCCCAAUCAUCGACCCUACCUUAGACGAUUCCCUCUGCUUACGCAGUUAGGCUGUCGCUUUCGGGUAUUGUCCACUUUCGUGGUUUGACGGGCGGUGUGUACAAACCCCGAGAACGUAUUCACCGCGACAUGCUGAUUCGCGAUUACUAGCGAUUCCAACUUCAUGAAGUCGAGUUGCAGACUUCAAUCCGAACUGAGACUAUUUUUUUGAGAUUUGCCAAAAACUCGCGUUUCAGCUACUCUUUGUAAUAGCCAUUGUAUCACGUUUGUAGCCCAGAUCAUAANGNGCAUGAUGAUUUGACGUAAUCCCACCUUCCUCCAUUUUUCAUUGGCAGUCUCGCUAAAGUCCCCACAUAACGUGC